GUAGUAAAUAAAUAUAUUCAAACAAUUCACUUUAGUCUUGUGCAAUUGUUGUUCGAAAAUUGAUGAAGACAAUGCAUGCUAUACACCUGGCGCUAUUUUGUUCGAUUCAAGUCUUUGACGUUGUGUUUCAAUUUAGCUGUUGAUUCUAUUGAUGCCGAAUCAGAAUCAGGCAAGGCGAAAGAAUACCUUAUUAAGAAAUGGGAACAGUGGUUUUACUUUAAUGACGCCAAUAAGGAUGGAGAGCUUUCAUUGAAUGAUAUGAAUCUAUUUGAGUAAGAAAUAUAUUU